GGCUCAGGACGAACGCUGGCGGCGUGCCUAACACAUGCAAGUCGAACGAAGACCAUAGAGGAGCUUGCUUUAAUAUGGUUUUAGUGGCGGACGGGUGAGUAACGCGUGAGGACUUGUCGAGUACAGGGGGACAACAGGUGGAAACGUCUGCUAAUACCCCAUAAGCCUUCGGGUAAAAGGAGCGAUCCGGUACACGAGAGACUCGCGUUCUAUCAGCUAGUAGGUGGGGUAACGGCCCACCCAGGCCAAGACGGAUAGCCGGACUGAGAGGUCGAUCGGCCACACUGGAACUGAGACACGGUCCAGACUCCUACGGGAGGCAGCAGUGGGGAAUAUUGGGCAAUGGGGGGAAAAACCCCUGACCCAGCGACGCCGCGUGAGUGAAGAAAUCCCUCGGGAUGUAAAACUCUGUUGUGUGGGAAGAUAAUGACGGUACCACACGAGGAAGCCCCGGCAAACUACGUGCCAGCCGCCGC
rnacentral:rRNA from 1 species